CUACGGGGGGCUCCAGUGGGGAAUAUUGCACAAUGGAGGAAACUCUGAUGCAGCAACGCCGCGUGGAGGAUGACACUUUUCGGAGCGUAAACUCCUUUUAUAUAGGAAGGAGAUGACGGUACUAUAUGAAUAAGCGCCGGCUAACUCCGUGCCAGCAGCCGCGGUAAUACGGAGGGCGCAAGCGUUACUCGGAAUCACUGGGCGUAAAGAGAGUGUAGGCGGAUUAAAAAGUCAGAAGUGAAAUCCUAUAGCUUAACUAUAGAACUGCUUCUGAAACUCUUAAUCUAGAAUAUGGGAGAGGUAGAUGGAAUUUCUGGUGUAGGGGUAAAAUCCGUAGAGAUCAGAAGGAAUACCGAUUGCGAAGGCGAUCUACUAGAACAUUAUUGACGCUGAGACGCGAAAGCGUGGGGAGCAAACAGGAUUAGAUACCCGCGUAGUC
rnacentral:rRNA from 1 species